rnacentral:misc_RNA from 1 species
GCCGCGUCUUGAGGGGAGUAGUCGCCCUUUCGUCAUGACCCGUCGUCGUGGGAGAGGGGCUCGUGUCAACACACUUGGCGCUGUCGCCAUGGCACGUGCGACCGUUCGGUUUGACGAGACCUUGGGCUCGGUG